rnacentral:rRNA from 1 species
AUGAAAGAAAGUCAAGCUAUUAGAGCGCUCCUUCUACUCUCAUUUCUUGUUCUAGCAACCAGAGGAAUAGAUACGACUACAAUGGAAAGGGAAAAUGAUAGCCAGAUCCUUGCCCAUCGAAAAGUUAAUAAAAUUGUCAUGAUGGAAGGUGGAGAUGUAUAUGAUUGCAUUGAUGUGAAUGUCCAGCCUACUUUGGGCCACCCAUUGUUGAAACAUCACAAAAUUCAGAUGGAACCAAGUUCUUUACCUGUUGGACAGAGGAUAAAAUCUCCCUCCCCAAAUGGUGUUUUACAAGCACAUCUGUCGAUCGUCGAAUGCCCGACGGGGAUGGUUCCAAUUAUACGUAAUAAUAGAAGGGGCCAUAUAGCGGCACACAUUACCGAGCAAGUGAUUAACAAGGAUGAACAACUAGAGAUGGCGGGAAUUAGAUAUUCAGAUGAUUUGUAUGGGGUACGAGCUACCAUAAAUGUGUAUGAGCCAAAGGUGAAGAAAGAUAGCAAGGAUAUUAGUCAAUCAGGUGUACUAAUUGAUAAUGGACCAACGGGUCAGGAAGAAGGUGUAGGUGCUUGUUAUUCGGUAGCUCCAAACUCCACUGGUGAUAGCUUUGCAAGGUUUCAUGUUAUUUGGCGAGAUGGCAAACUACACAAGCCCUGCUACGAUCACGUAUGUCCUGGUUUUGUGCAAGUUAGUCACCGUGUUGGUCUUGGAGGAAGAGUACUUCCUGUUUCAGUCUAUAACGGACCACAAUAUGUGAUAGACAUUUACAUUUUCAAGGACCCCAAAAUAGCAAAUUGGUGGGUGAUGUAUGGUGAAGAAAAGACACCGGUUGGAUAUUGGCCAAGUUCACUCUUCUCUCACUUUAAAGAUAAAGGGAUUUAUUCAUUCUGGGGCGGUUUUGUUCAAGGCCCAACAGCUUCAUCAGACUCUCCACAAAUUGGUAGUGGGCAUUUUGCCUCUGAAGGGUAUGGAAAAGCAGCUUUUAUGAGAAGCAUCCAGAUUGUUGACAAAAAUAACAAGCUUGUCACUCCAAAUAGUCACAAAGACCUUGUUGGAACUACUGAUAUAACGAAAUAUAGUAUUGAUGGUUAUAAAGUUGAUAACCAUGGUAUGCAUAUGUACUAUGGUGGACCAGGUAAUAUGGUCUGA